GUUUUGUUGCCUUUUAAAGGGAGAGGAAAGCAAACCACAGGCUAUUUUAUUAUGAGCCUUCAAAAGGGAGGGGGUAAAAACUAGUUAUCAAUGUUGUGCCUUUAUUCUUUAUGAAGAAAAACAAAAUUUAGCUUAAAUACUCAUGGGGGGGUGCUUUGAUUUUUUUUUUUUAAAACUAGAGCUAGAUUAAAACUGAUGGUGAAGAGAAGAAAAAAAGUUUUUUGUAGUUCAACAAUUGAAUAUUUCUUGGCUCUUAAACAUUUCAGAGAAGCGCUACAAAGCAGCCACUGUGCUUACUGAACGGCCUCCCCCUGUAUCGCUUGAUUGAGAAGGUAUACAAAUGCUCUCAGUCCAGCCAGACACCAAGCCGAAAGGUUGUGCUGGCUGCAACCGAAAGAUCAAGGACCGGUAUCUUCUAAAGGCACUGGACAAAUACUGGCAUGAAGACUGCCUGAAGUGUGCCUGCUGUGACUGUCGCUUGGGAGAGGCUCUUUGGUGUAACGGGAAACUGCGCUGCCUGUAGUAAGCUCAUCCCUGCCUUUGAGAUGGUG
rnacentral:sRNA from 1 species